GACGAAGGGGGCUAGCGUUGCUCGGAAUUACUGGGCGUAAAGCGCAUGUAGGCGGCAGCGCAAGUCGGGCGUGAAAUCCCACGGCUCAACCGUGGAAGUGCACUCGAAACUGCGCAGCUAGAGUCCUGGAGAGGAAGGUGGAAUGCUUGGUGUAGAGGUGAAAUUCGUAGAUAUCAAGCGGAACACCGGUGGCGAAGGCGGCCUUCUGGACAGUGACUGACGCUGAGAUGCGAAAGCGUGGGGAGCAAACAGGG
rnacentral:rRNA from 1 species